GCUGGAUGUGGUGGUGCACACCUGUAGUCCCAGCUUCUUAGGAGACUGAGGCAGGGGAAUCACUAGAGCCCAGGAGUGUGAGGCCUGCCUGGGCCACAAAGCAAGACACUGUCUCAA
rnacentral:sRNA from 1 species